GACGGAGGAGGCUAGCGUUGUUCGGAAUUACUGGGCGUAAAGCGCAUGAAGGUGGUGAAGUAAGCCGGAUGUGAAAUCCCCGGGCUCAACCUGGGAACGUGCAUUCAAAACUAGACAAGCUAGAGUAUGGUAGAGGGUGGUGGAAUUUCCUGUGUAGCGGUGAAAUGCGUAGAUAUAGGAAGGAACACCAGUGGCGAAGGCGACCACCUGGACUGAUACUGACACUGAGGUGCGAAAGCGUGGGGAGCAAACAGGAUUAGAAACCCGAGUAGU
rnacentral:rRNA from 1 species